UGUGUUUUUUGACUUCCUUUAUGAGUUCGCAAUGUCGGUGGAUUUCUAGUUUCAUGAUUGAUACAAGUAAAGGUUCGUUUGGUUUGUCUCGCCUGAAGAAGGAUCAAAUAAGAUCCGAAACUGUAGCGAAAUAAAUCGUUUUUAUAUUAACUUCUUUGCCUAUAUCCGAAACCUACAAUAAGAU